UACGGGGGGAGCUAGCGUUGUUCGGAAUUACUGGGCGUAAAGCGCGCGUAGGCGGCUUUGUAAGUUAGGGGUGAAAGCCCGGAGCUCAACUCCGGAAUUGCCUUUAAGACUGCAUCGCUUGAAUCCGGGAGAGGUGAGUGGAAUUCCGAGUGUAGAGGUGAAAUUCGUAGAUAUUCGGAAGAACACCAGUGGCGAAGGCGGCUCACUGGCCCGAUACUGACGCUGAGGCACGAAAGCGUGGGGAGCAAACAGG
rnacentral:rRNA from 1 species